GUGCUGUGUGAGGUACUGGGGACAUAAACAUGAAUUAGAGAGAUUCCCUUCUCCUAGAAGUUCACUAUAGUGGGUAGCAAGCAUUUAUAAUUAUAAGGUAAAAGAAUGAUAAGAUUUGCUUAUUUUAUUUUGAGAAGACCCUGCAGGUUUCCAGUCUAGAUCUGGCAAAAGUCAUCUGACAAAGCAUCUAAAAUGAAUUCAUAUCUUCACCACAUCUGAAAAUAUAAAAGUAGAUGAAAAAGUAGAAGCUUAUGGGAGAAGGAUAUGAAAUGAUGUCCGUGAAUGUUCAGGAGGAACAAAUAUGCGGGGAGCAGUGUGAGAGAGCCCUUUAUUUCUGGCUCAUUGAGGGUUCUGUGUUAUCAUAGUUGACAAGACAAAUUGUGACAUUCACAAGGCAUUAUUAUUGGAGAUAAAACCAUGUUUUGAAAAAUCAGGGAAGGCAAUCCAUCAAUGAAAAUAUGCUACCCAGUAAAGCCAGGUAAAUUGGAUUUUCAGUGCCUUGGGAGUACCCAUUUCUCAAAUGCAGGACUUAUAAUCCUUUGAAAUGAUUUUGGUAAAUGUUCAGGCACAGCUAUGUAAGACUUCACA
rnacentral:lncRNA from 1 species